GCCAAAUUACAAGAUGCCAAAACAACAAUUACAAUCCAAGAAAUAACAAACCAAAUUGGCGCUUCCAAAACCUAAGACAAAUUUCCUCAAAAGGAGCUUCUCGUACAGAGCUGCGAAAUUGUGGAACGAACUUUAAAGUGAAACCAUCGAAAAUCACAAUGAACUAUCAAUCUUAUAGUUUAAACGGCGAUUAUAUAAUUAGGUAUAAAAUUGAUGCAAAUAUUUAUACUGAUAGCAUACUUUGUAAAUAGUCUUUUGUUUAUAUGUUUAUACUGUAUAUAUUUUGUGUUUCAUAGCUUAGUAUAUUGAUAGAUACACGGCCCUUUGAAACCAGUUUUGUAAAUAAUUAUCCACUGAAUAGGCUACCGUAUGUAAAGUAUUUUAAUUAAAGAUUACUUGUCAGACGCUGUUGACUUUCGCUGUCCUCUGUCCCGCCUUUGGCAGUGUCGCUGGCUUUCGAAUUAAAAUAAACGCAGCUCUUUUUACGUUUAGAAUUAGCUGACUGUCCCCUGUUGGUUUAUGGAGACGCUUUAUUUUGCCUUGGUUUACAUGAAUAAAUGUCUCUCUUAUAUCAUUUAUCUUCUUUAUCAACGUUUCCAGCUUUGAUUUGCAGUUUCUGCAGCAAUAUAGAAUUCGUCGACCGUCUUCUCGACAUCAAUGGCGCAGUAAGCUUGAAAAUCAUUUCCUAGUUUGGUUUUUCCUUUUGUGUUCGAAAGCACAGUUCUUCUUGUUGGAAGUGUAGUACUGCCACAGAUUUUGCAGCCUUCAAUUUCUUUAUUUACAGCUAGCUUUAUUGGU